ACGGGUGAGUAACACGUAGGCAACCUGCCUGUAAGACUGGGAUAACUACCGGAAACGGUAGCUAAUACCGGAUAGCUGGUUUUCUCGCAUGAGAGAAUCAUGAAAGAUGGAGCAAUCUGUCACUUAUGGAUGGGCCUGCGGCGCAUUAGCUAGAUGGUGAGGUAAUGGCUCACCAAGGCGACGAUGCGUAGCCGACCUGAGAGGGUGAACGGCCACACUGGGACUGAGACACGGCCCAGACUCCUACGGGAGGUAGCAGUAGGGAAUCUUCCGCAAUGGACGAAAGUCUGACGGAGCAACGCCGCGUGAGUGAUGAAGGUUUUCGGAUCGUAAAGCUCUGUUGCCAGGGAAGAACGUCUUAGAGAGUAACUGCUCUAAGAGUGACGGUACCUGAGAAGAAAGCCCCGGCUAACUACGUGCCAGCAGCCGCGGUAAUACGUAGGGGGCAAGCGUAGUCCGGAAUUAUUGGGCGUAAAGCGCGCGCAGGCGGCUAUGUAAGUCUGGUGUAUAACCUCGGGGCUCAACCCCGGGUCGCACUGGAAACUGUGUAGCUUGAGUACAGAAGAGGAGAGUGGAA
rnacentral:rRNA from 1 species